rnacentral:rRNA from 1 species
GUAAGGAAUAUUGGUCAAUGGACGAAAGUCUGAACCAGCCAUGCCGCGUGAAGGAUGAAGGCCCUCUGGGUUGUAAACUUCUUUUAUCUGGGACGAAAAAAGGGUAUUCUUACUCACUUGACGGUACCAGAGGAAUAAGCACCGGCUAACUCCGUGCCAGCAGCCGCGGUAAUACGGAGGGUGCAAGCGUUAUCCGGAUUCACUGGGUUUAAAGGGUGCGUAGGUGGGUAUUUGAGUCAGUGGUGAAAUCUCCGAGCUUAACUCGGAAACUGCCAUUGAUACUAUUUACCUUGAAUGCCCUGGAGGUAAGCGGAAUAUGUCAUGUAGCGGUGAAAUGCUUAGAUAUGACAUAGAACACCAAUUGCGAAGGCAGCUUACUACGGGGUGAUUGACACUGAGGCACGAAAGCGUGGGGAGCAAACAGGAUUAGAAACCCUAGUAGUCC